CAAGAGGUUGCUCAUUGGAAACCAGUGUUGGAAGCAAUACCGAAGUGUGAUUCCAGAUUUGUUUUCAAAAUUUAAAUUAUUGUGCGAAAAAAAACAUGGAGAACAGGAAUAUUUCAUUUGGUGUAUGUUUAUUGGUUGCUGUUUUGAUAUCAAGUUUUAUCGCAAUGGUGUCUACUGAAUCUAUUAUUUCAAUAUUCACAAGAAACAAUUGUCCUCAAGGACACUUAUGGAUUCCGAAAAAGAACAAAUGUAUCCGAGUUCUCCGCAUUUGACGAGACCAAUAGCAGAUACACAUAUACGUUUCGAAACUAAUGUAACGUAAAGAUUACACGUGUAUUCUGAGAAAUAAAACUCUUCUAAUUUUUGCA